UUUUCGGUCGCUAUGGUAGUGUUCAGUUGAAACUCAGCUUCAACACGGUUCAGUCAAAAUUCUAGUUCACAUCACACAAUUUGCAUCUCCCCCAAUAAAAGACAAAUCAAACUGGUUCCAUGCUCCCUAUGUUUUUGACCGUUUUCAAGAGGGUAAAGAGAAGCGAAGACAAUGCGACGAGGAGCAAAAAUAAAAUACCGGGAGAACACGAACCCUUGAUCAAGACGGAUCCAGUGUGCUAUAGCGCUUCGAGGAUCCUAUUGAGACCGGUUAAUAUAAUAAAAAAUGUCUUUUUUGUGAGGAGGCUACUGUUUAGAAAUCUGAAAAUGAGACCGACCGGCGACUUGGAACAUUUAGUGAGAAAGAACAUCUGCCCAUACAAGUCGGUCAUCUACAAUUCCAGCCUGCUGGCGAAGGUGUGCAGAGAUUUGUAUUCGCUGAGAGACCGAACUUUACCGCCCAGCAUUAUCACAUAACUUGAUAUGACCACAUGUUUGAACAAGAUGACCUGUCGAAGGAUCGUUUACAAGAUUGUUUUGCCUCAUGAAAACCGUGUAAUUUGAUAUAAUAAAUAGCUUGUCUCAUUGAA